UACAUCCUUUUCCUGCAUGGGCGAAGGAGGAAAGACGGAGCAAUCUGUCACUUGUGGAUGGGCCUGCGGCGCAUUAGCUAGGUGGUGGGGUAAAGGCCUACCAAGGCGACGAUGCGUAGCCGACCUGAGAGGGUGAUCGGCCACACUGGGACUGAGACACGGCCCAGACUCCUACGGGAGGCAGCAGUAGGGAAUCUUCCGCAAUGGGCGAAAGCCUGACGGAGCAACGCCGCGUGAGUGAUGAAGGUUUUCGGAUCGUAAAGCUCUGUUGCCAGGGAAGAACGUCUUGUAGAGUAACUGCUACAAGAGUGACGGUACCUGAGAAGAAAGCCCCGGCUAACUACGUGCCAGCAGCCGCGGUAAUACGUAGGGGGCAAGCGUUGUCCGGAAUUAUUGGGCGUAAAGCGCGCGCAGGCGGCUCUUUAAGUCUGGUGUUUAAUCCCGAGGCUCAACUUCGGGUCGCACUGGAAACUGGGGAGCUUGAGUGCAGAAGAGGAGAGUGGAAUUCCACGUGUAGCGGUGAAAUGCGUAGAGAUGUGGAGGAACACCAGUGGCGAAGGCGACUCUCUGGGCUGUAACUGACGCUGAGGCGCGAAAGCGUGGGGAGCAAACAGGAUUAGAU
rnacentral:rRNA from 1 species